AACUAUAGAGAAACAUGUUCAUGGAUCAAAGAACAACAUGUUUGAAAGUGCUAAAGAUGCCAUGAAGAAACAACUGGGCAACUUGAUGAUAGAAGUAUUGUAUAGGCUGGAGAAUACCAUGAAGGAAUCUAUUGAGCUCUCACUCAAGACUGAUGAACACUCAAUCCCAGAUGUUUCAGCAGAGCUCAAGAUGGUCCAGGAACUUUACAAUAAGCUGCAGGAAAGCAGCUAAAACAGGAAACAUUUCUAAGGUA